rnacentral:rRNA from 1 species
UACGAAGGGUGCAAGCGUUGCUCGGAAUUAUUGGGCGUAAAGGGUAGGUAGGUGGUAAUAAAAGUCUGGGGUGAAAUCCCUGAGCUCAACUCAGGACGUGCCUUGGAAACUUUAUUACUAGAGUGUUGGAGAGGUCCGCAGAAUUCCCGGUGUAGCGGUGAAAUGCGUAGAGAUCGGGAGGAAUACCAGAGGCGAAGGCGGCGGACUGGACAGCAACUGACACUCAACUACGAAAGCGUGGGUAGCAAACAGG